AGCUGCAUAAAUAUUUGGGAGUCUACAUUGAUCAACAUCAUAAAUGGAAUACUCAGAUUUCAUAUGUUAAAAAUAAAGUAUCUAAAAACAUAGGAAUAUUGUAUCACCUACGGCGAUAUCUUAAACUUUCAAUGCUAAGUAAUCUGUAGCCUAUUAUAGUCUUAUUUAUCCGUACUUGAUCUAUGAAUCUAUCUUGAGCUGCAUGGGGACUACGUACAAAACUAAUCUUAACCUAUUGGCUAUUAUCUUCAAAAUUUAACAAAUGUAUCAGAUGUAUUUUCUUUGCAAGUUACGAGAGGAUCUUAGUCCAUAUUUCAAGUUACUUGGGAUUUUGAAGUUGGAAAAUUUAAUUAAGUCAAAUACGAAACCAGAUUUAUUUUCAGAUUUCUUUAAUUUAAACCUGCAUCUAGUGUUCAUUCGCAUUAUACAAGAUAUGCAUCCCAAGAUAAUUAUUAUGGAGCUAGGAUUUGAACUAAUUAUGGUAUAAAUUUACAUUUAAAUGUUCCCUCGGUUAUGGGAAUCUAUACCUCUGUCUCUCAAGUUACUGCCCUCUAAUAUAUUUAAAAGGAAGUAUAAAAACACUUGCUUAAUAAUCAAGAAUAAAUACGAUUAAUAUCAACUAGUUUAUUAAUUAUCAAUGUAAACUUGUCUUUUAGCACCUGGGUUCAUGAGUUAUUCUGUACGCGUAUAGGCAUAGCCAUGUCGGCUUAUAUUAUUCUAACAUUGCGACAACCAGCUCGAAAGCUUCGGCUCCUCUGCCUCUGGUUGCCGUUCACAAUCUUUUUUUAAAGUACUCAUUAAAAUUUUCUUCUACUUAGUAUUUAAUUGUAAUUAGAACAAAAUAAAAAUAAAACAAUGAAUAAUCGGGCCAUUUUGUUUACACUUUCACUAGUUUAAAAGCCGACACGUCAAAACGUCUGCCACAUGUAUCACGUAUCACUAGCCUCCUAAUUUUCGCUCAAACCCAUUAUUCCAGGCUGUGUGAGCAGGC